CAAUAGCGUAUAUUAAAGUUGUUGCAGUUAAAAAGCUCGUAGUUGGAUUUCUGGUCGUGGAAAUCGGUCGCUCCUCACGGAGUGUGCACCAGAUUUCUGCAUCCAUCUUCGGAGAAAACAUAUCUGGCAUUAAGUUGUCGGGUGUGAGAUCUUCGUCAUUUACUGUGAGCAAAAUAGAGUGUUCAAAGCAGGCUUAGGCCGUUGAAUACAUUAGCAUGGAAUAAUAAGAUAAGACCUUGGUCUAUUUUGUUGGUUUGCAUCACGAAGUAAUAUAAGAGUAGUUGGGGUAUUCGUAUUUAAUUGUCAGAGGUGAAAUUCUUGGAUUUAUGAAAGACGAACUUCUGCGAAAGCAUUUACCAAAGAUGUUUUCAUUAAUCAAGAACGAAAGUUAGGGGAUCGAAGACGAUCAGAUACCA
rnacentral:rRNA from 1 species